UACAGAGGGGGCAAGCGUUGUUCGGAAUUACUGGGCGUAAAGGGCGCGUAGGUGGCCUUCUAAGUUGAACGUGAAAUCCCUGGGCUCAACCCAGGAACUGCGUCCAAGACUGGGAGGCUUGAAUCCGGGAGAGGGAUGCGGAAUUCCAGGUGUAGCGGUGAAAUGCGUAGAUAUCAGGAGGAACACCAAUGGCGAAGGCAGCUCGCUGGGACGGUACUGACGCUGAGACGCGAAAGCGUGGGGAGCAAACAGG
rnacentral:rRNA from 1 species